GUCCCUGUAGAGCAUUGGAUAGCGCGUUGGACCUCUAAUAGAAAGGUUGUGGGUUCGAAUCCCACCUGGGAUA